UCUUGAGCCAGACUCAACUCCGAUGGCACCAAAUCCCGAUUUGCACGAGAUUCACCGCUUUCAACUUGCGUAAGGCGUCCUUAUAAGGAGAUGGGGUGCUCAUCCUUGAUCCCGUUUCCAUCUCAAGCCGUUUGGUGCCCUAAAAUCCGCCCUGCGAGCCUAUCGGACAUUGCAGUCAAGCAGAUCCCUUCCGCCGCCGUGGGGGUUUGUGGUUCUCCUCUGUUAAGCCGAAACUGAGUGGUGGUCAAGUUUCGCAACUAGGAGGUCUCCCGUCCGCCAAUUCGCGUGGCCCGCGUUAUCCGAGGUCUCUCUGGUCGCGUUGAGGGCUCAGACGAUGAGCAAUCCUUGGUGAACCGGAGUGCUUCAGUGAUCAAGAUCAAAGCCUUGGCAACUAGUAAGACCAGCAGGAUCAACAAGAGCAUUUGGAUCAAGG